CAGCAGCACGCCGAUGAAGAAGCACGUGGAUGUAACUUUGUUCAGGCCUCUCUGCUGACACACCAGAUCCCACUGCAGAGACAGGCGGGGAGACUCCACCCACCCUUCCUCUCGGGAUGACUCAGAGAUGUCCUUUUCAGCCUCUGUUCCAACUCCCUGGAGCUGCCUUAGCCCUUGGGUAAAUUAUAGUAAACGAACUGAACCCAGCUUUAAAGCUACAGGCUGGUCUCCACACGGGAAUGAAAGUCCUUAGAGUGCAAGAAGGUUCUCUCCGGUCCCCUGCCCCCAAGGUAAUGGCUGGCUCAACCCACUCACAUAUCCCGCACCCUCUGGGCUUGGGUACCUCAGUUGCAAUGGUGGAAGAGAAUUCUGAGCGGUCGUACUCCCAGCCCUGGGAGCAGGGCACUGUGAGGGGCUCACCCUCAGG